rnacentral:rRNA from 1 species
AUUGAACGCUGGCGGCAGGCCUAACACAUGCAAGUCGAGCGGCAGCGGGAAAGUAGCUUGCUACUUUUGCCGGCGAGCGGCGGACGGGUGAGUAAUGCCUGGGAAAUUGCCCAGUCGAGGGGGAUAACAGUUGGAAACGGCUGCUAAUACCGCAUACGCCCUACGGGGGAAAGCAGGGGACCUUCGGGCCUUGCGCGAUUGGAUAUGCCCAGGUGGGAUUAGCUAGUUGGUGAGGUAAUGGCUCACCAAGGCGACGAUCCCUAGCUGGUCUGAGAGGAUGAUCAGCCACACUGGAACUGAGACACGGUCCAGACUCCUACGGGAGGCAGCAGUGGGGAAUACUGCACAAUGGGGAAAACCCUGAUGCAGCCAUGCCGCGUGUGUGAAGAAGGCCUUCGGGUUGUAAAGCACUUUCAGCGAGGAGGAAAGGUUGAUGCCUAAUACGUAUCAACUGUGACGUUACUCGCAGAAGAAGCACCGGCUAACUCCGUGCCAGCCGCCGCGGUAA